rnacentral:rRNA from 1 species
AUGAAGAGAUUUUUUUCACCGUUGUCUCCAACGAGCGUGUCCACACCUAUCAUUUUAGAUGGAGGGAAUCAAGUGACAGAGGAGGCUGAAUCAACACCUGAAACUGAAACUACCAUUGAAAUGGGACCACCGCCUUCGACUUCAAGCGACCCACCUGCAAUGUCAACUCCAGAGAGUAACAAUCUUGGUAAUCCCGCUGAUGCCCGUGAUCAAUUCUGUAAAAGUGAUAUUGAAGCUGAUCCUGGUCUUAGGAAACCAAUUGAAAGCUUAGAUCCGAACAUUAGAGAUGCUGCUAGAAGGAUUUAUAUAAAUAUGGGUCCAUGCCAACCAACUGAUCAUAAAUAUAAAAAAACACCCCAAGGAAAUUCUUCAACGAAAAGAAGCUUUCAUGCUAAUUGGUUCAAGAACCAUGGCGACUGGUUGGAAUAUAGUGUUGGUAAAGAAGCAGCCUUUUGUUUCUAUUGCUUUCUUUUUAAGCAACCAAGAGCGGAAAAUUAUGGUAUUGAGGCAUUCACAAGG